rnacentral:lncRNA from 1 species
CCGUGAAUCUCAAUAACAAAGAAUUGGCAAUUGAUGUGGAAAGGAACCUAGAACACCUGGAAUCUCGGAGAAAUAUUCAUUUUUAUGAAUUGUUCAUUCAAUUUAUUUCAAAUAAGUCGUAUCUUAUUCAAACCAAUCAAUAGAGCUGGGGUUAUAGUUAAAGCAGCCAGUAGAAAACCGAAAUAACUAGUUAUAGUAGGCAUGAAAG